rnacentral:rRNA from 1 species
UACGUAGGGGGCGAGCGUUGUCCGGAAUUACUGGGCGUAAAGGGUGCGUAGGUGGUUUCUUAAGUCAGAGGUGAAAGGCUAUGGCUCAACCGUAGUAAGCCUUUGAAACUGGGAAACUUGAGUGCAGGAGAGGAGAGUGGAAUUCCUAGUGUAGCGGUGAAAUGCGUAGAUAUUAGGAGGAACACCAGUUGCGAAGGCGGCUCUCUGGACUGUAACUGACACUGAGGCACGAAAGCGUGGGGAGCAAACAGGAUUAGAUACCCGGGUAGUCCCUGAG